rnacentral:rRNA from 1 species
AUUGAACGCUGGCGGCAUGCCUUACACAUGCAAGUCGAACGGUAACAGGUCUUCGGAUGCUGACGAGUGGCGAACGGGUGAGUAAUACAUCGGAACGUGCCUAGUAGUGGGGGAUAACUACUAGAAAGAGUGGCUAAUACCGCAUGAGAUCUACGGAUGAAAGCAGGGGAUCGCAAGACCUUGUGCUACUAGAGCGGCCGAUGGCAGAUUAGGUAGUUGGUGGGAUAAAAGCUUACCAAGCCGACGAUCUGUAGCUGGUCCGAGAGGACGAUCAGCAACACUGGGACUGAGACACGGCCCAGACUCCUACGGGAGGCAGCAGUGGGGAAUUUUGGACAAUGGGCGCAAGCCUGAUCCAGCAAUGCCGCGUGCAGGAUGAAGGCCUUCGGGUUGUAAACUGCUUUUGUACGGAACGAAAAGCCCCGGGUUAAUACCCUGGGGUCAUGACGGUACCGUAAGAAUAAGCACCGGCUAACUACGUGCCAGCAGCCGCCGUAA